rnacentral:lncRNA from 1 species
AGCCACACAGGCGCACGGCGGGGCACGGCGGGGCACGGGCCCUGCUGCAAACGGGCGCGCUCCCUUCUGGGCAAGCAGGUGCGAGGCGCGCGCCAUGGAACAGCCCUUAGCUGAGUUUCGGUUUGCGCGCAAACGGCCGGCCUGGCCGCCCAACGCAGCAUUUCCAGCCAGGGCGCACAAACCUCGGGAGAGAAGGUGGAAGCCGCAGGGGCUCUAAAGGCAGCCCCAGGUUGGCUAAAGCGGUUCCUGGUACGGACACCAAGGCCCCCGUGCUCGGGCCCUACCCAGCCUGGUUCAGGCCUGUCAUACUCGUCUUUCUCUUUCCUGGGAAAUUGCUGAUGGUUCAAGUAAAGACUCUGAAGCAGUCUCAGGGAUAUACUGCUUGGUAGUAAAAGUCAAGUCUUCAUCAUCUAGUUUACGGCAUGAAUCAACACACAGUUGUUUGAAAAUGCUGAAUGCAGAUUUGUCAGAACUCCCUGAAUCUUCUGCACUUGCUCCUCCUUCUCUCAAACUUGCAUUCUUUGAUGCUUCUGGAUUGUCAUUUUGAAGACCAUUUUCAAGUAUCUUUUUUUUUAUGUUGCAAAAUUUGUUGUUGAAUGCUAGUCAAAACACCACAAAUAGCAUAAUUGUUUGCUGUCUGUCCAUACAUAUCUUGAAUAAAGACAGUAAUAUUUUGUUGAAGAAUGCCAACUAUACCUAACGAGCCAUAAUGUACAGCAGGCGUGAAGGCUGUUCCUCUCAACCUAUCAACAGCAUGUGCAUUUGCUUGUUUCUUCACUAAAAAUUCCAGCAUUUGCUGUCUUUUGCAAACUGCAGCAAGUAAAAGUGGUGUGUUUCCAUCAUUGUUCAGCACUUCAAUAUCCGUAUCAUGGGAAAAUAGUUUUUCUACCAGGAAUGUACUCUCAUUAUAGGACAGCAUAGUGGAGAGCAGUGUUGCUGUAGACAUCCACGUUCCAGCAGAACGAUGCCACAAAUCUCUUCCUGGCAAUGUACAGCCUCCUCAAAGGCAUCCCAUUUUGUUUAUCACCAAUGUCAAUGUGGCAUUUUCAGUUCACCAGGAGAGUCCCCACUUCCACAUGGCCAUUGGCACAGGCCAAACGUACAGCAGCCCUGUCCAUCCACAGCUGAAGGGAUAGAGAAACUGCCAUACAGAUACACACAGAGUAUGCUUCAGCCAUAAAGCUUUGGGAAAUCCUGUCAUUCGCAGCCACAUGGAGAAACCCAGAGGACAUUAGGUCCAAGAAAAUGAGCCUGGUGGAGCAAGUCCCACACUGCGUGACCUCAGGCAUGUGGACUCCAAAAAGCUUUAUCUCCUGCCCAUCCACAGAUGAAGGGAUCAAGAAACUCUGAUAUAUAUACACAAAGGAAUGUUCUUUGGCCAUCAAGAUAAUUAAAGGAUGUCAUUUGGAGGAACAUAGAUGGCCCGCCGAGGCUGCGGCUGCCUCAUCCUGCACUGUGGAUGGAAGCCGCUGAUCUGACAGGAAGUGGAGCUCAGGUGGUAAUGCUCGCUCUUGCUGUGCUGCCAGGUUCUUAACAGGCCAGGGAUGAUACUGGUCCAGGGGUGGGGGAGCCCUGCUCCAGAUGACAGCCAGAGUAGUCUUAAAUUCCUCCUUUGUAUAGCCUUGGAAAACAGAUCAGCGAGGUAGCAGUGAAAGACAUCAUGAUACCAAAUAGAAACAAGGACUUGGAAGACACAUUGGACCUCUUAAUUUCCAGGCCACUUGAUAGUAGAUACAGUUCCUUACAAAAGAACAUGGCUUCAUCUUGGGAAAAGAGGGUGCUGGAGGUGAGGGAAGAUGAAUUAGCCACCAAGACAGUUCACCUUGCAAUUCAAUCAUUUAGGUCUAACUGGAGAAUGAUUGCUGCCAUGUUCCAGAACAAGAAUGAAAGCCUCGUUUCACAAUGAAAAGGUGAAUUUAUAUCUUCUGUGUUAGAUUCUAGGAAAAAAGGAAGUAAAAGAGAUACAGAACAGUCCUUUCAUCCCUCCCCAUCUGCACUUUAUUCUUCCUAACUACAAAUCCCAUGCUGAAAUUCUACUGUACUUGAUAAGCAUACAAUCAUAUUCAGGGCUCUGCCAGGACAAUAUUCUUUUUUUUUUUUUUUUCCUUGAGGUGGAGUUUCACUCUGUCACCCAGGCUGGAGUACAGUGGCGUGUUCUUGGCUCACUGCAACCUCCGCCUCCUGGGUUGAAGUGAGUCUCCUGCCUCAGCCUCCUGAGUAGGUGGGACUACAGGUGUGUGCCACCAUGCCUGGCUAAUUUUUGUAUUUUUAAUAGAGACGGGGUUUCACCAUGUUAGCCAGGCUGGUCUCGAAUUCCUGACCUCAGGCAAUCUGCCGGCCUCAGCCUCCCAAAGUGCUGAGAUUACAGGCAUGAGCCACUGUGCCUGGCCGACAAUAUUCUUAAGUAUAAAGAACAUAUAAUAGUUGGAAAAAUCUAUGAGCAGAAAUAUUUUAGGGGAUAUUUUGUUAUAUAUUCAGUAUUUCUAUAAAUGUUUUCAAAAUAUACAAAAUUUUGAAUGACAUAAUGCUUUCUGUAUUUCCUCUUCUCCACUUGGGCAGUUCUGUGAACACAAAACAUCCCCUCCUGCUCUGAUGUUUCACUUUUUAUAUGGUUUUGAUUGGUGUCCCCACCCAAAUCUCAUGUCAAAUUGUAAUCCCCAAUGUUGGAGGUGGGGUCUGGUGCAGGUGAUUGGAUCAUGGGGGUGGAUCCUUCAUGAAUGGUUUAGCACCGCCUCUUUGGUGCUGUCUCCUGAUAGUGUUCUCAUGAGAUCUUCCUCCUGCUCCCACCAUGUAAGACACGCCAGCUUCCCCUCACUUUCCACCAUGAUUGUAAGUUGCCUGAGGCCUCCCUGGAAGAAUCCACUAUGCUUUCUGUAAAGCCUGCAGAACCAUGAGCCAAUUAAAC